AUGCCUACUUUUUUUCAACCAUUUCCGGUAGUUCUGGGAUACGAGGAGGGAAUUGUUAGAGUGGACGUUCCUUUUAGAAGAGCAGGAUCCAAAUAUAGUGUUGAACAAGUAGGUGUGACGGCGGAGUUCUAUGGUAGCGAACUUAAUCAAGUAAGUUAUUCCGAUUCUGCUACUAUAAGAAAAUAUGUGAGGCAUUCUCAAUCAGUGGAAACUCUUGAAUUAGGCCGGGCUACUUUGAAAUCUAAUGGUGUUUUCGCAGCGGUCGAACAUGUUGGUUCACUAUUGGCCAUGCUACUUUUUCUUUGCUCUUCAUUUUCAAACACAUUUGUUGUGGCGCUAGAACAUUGUUCUGAGAUGUUUUUGCUAGUAUUGAUCCUGAUUUGGAUGCUCGAGUGGAAUAUGGAACAUUCCCAAAAGUAG
rnacentral:rRNA from 1 species